UUUAUAUUUAUUUGUGUAUUAUGAUUAUUAUAAUUUCAGAUGUGAAUUCUUGCGGUCAUAAUUGUUGGUCGACCACACAAAAAAGAGAAUUAUGUGACAGCCUUUAUGGUGUAAAUUGUUGGCCCGGACAUUUCAAACUCAAUUACUUUUCUCCUAACUGCUAUUGUUGCAAUGAAGAACAAAUUAACGAUGACGAUGAGCAAGUCGGUUGGGAAAAUGAUCGCUAUACAUUUUACAGAAAAUACCUUAAAGACUAUCCAUACUUAUUGGACAGACGUGUUUCACCUGAUGAACAUGGUCAAUGAUUAUUAAACUGUUUAAGAUAUAACACUAC